rnacentral:sRNA from 1 species
UGACCUAUUGUUGCUUACCAACCUUGAGCUAACAUCAUAAUUGAUUUACAAUAUUUAACAUCAUAACUGAUUUACAAUAUUUAAAUCAAUUAUGAUGUUAGCUCAAGGUUGGCAAGCAAAAAUAGGUCAA